rnacentral:rRNA from 1 species
CUUUGAUCAUGGCUCAGGAUGAACGCUAGCUACAGGCUUAACACAUGCAAGUCGAGGGGCAGCGGGAUUGAAGCUUGCUUCAAUUGCCGGCGACCGGCGCACGGGUGAGUAACGCGUAUCCAACCUUCCGUACACUCAGGGAUAGCCUUUCGAAAGAAAGAUUAAUACCUGAUGGUAUGAUGAGAUUGCAUGAUAGCAUCAUUAGAGAUUUAUCGGUGUACGAUGGGGAUGCGUUCCAUUAGGUAGUAGGCGGGGUAACGGCCCACCUAGCCAACGAUGGAUAGGGGUUCUGAGAGGAAGGUCCCCCACAUUGGAACUGAGACACGGUCCAAACUCCUACGGGAGGCAGCAGUGAGGAAUAUUGGUCAAUGGACGAGAGUCUGAACCAGCCAAGUAGCGUGAAGGAUGAAGGUCCUACGGAUUGUAAACUUCUUUUAUAAGGGAAUAAACCCUCCCACGUGUGGGAGCUUGUAUGUACCUUAUGAAUAAGCAUCGGCUAACUCCGUGCCAGCAGCCGCGGUAAUACGGAGGAUGCGAGCGUUAUCCGGAUUUAUUGGGUUUAAAGGGAGCGCAGACGGGUCGUUAAGUCAGCUGUGAAAGUUUGGGGCUCAACCUUAAAAUUGCAGUUGAUACUGGCGUCCUUGAGUGCGGUUGAGGUGUGCGGAAUUCGUGGUGUAGCGGUGAAAUGCUUAGAUAUCACGAAGAACUCCGAUUGCGAAGGCAGCACACUAAUCCGUAACUGACGUUCAUGCUCGAAAGUGUGGGUAUCAAACAGGAUUAGAUACCCUGGUAGUCCACACGGUAAACGAUGGAUACUCGCUGUUGGCGAUAUACUGUCAGCGGCUUAGCGAAAGCGUUAAGUAUCCCACCUGGGGAGUACGCCGGCAACG